GCCAUGGUUAAUGGUUAUUAGACCUGUAAACCAAAAGAAAACUGUAAGUUAUAUAAUGCCGUAAUUAUAAUUACUUUGCACAAAAUUUAAUCUCUAAUAUUACUCUUCUACAAUUCCACUGAAAAUCUUGACUCUAAUUUCACAAAUUUGUAAGACAUCUGAAAUAACAUAAAACACAUAUUUUUCCAGUUCAUACAUCCACACACAAAACACAUCAAUGAUUAAAGGUUGCCAAAAACUAUAACCUAACUUCAUUUCUUUUAUCCUCUUCUUCAACCAUCCACACUAGCAAAGUAUGGACUAAAUCAGCUACUCUCAAACACAUAUCUAAUACAAUCACAGAUAAUUUUUUAACUUGCAGCAAGCUACACAUUUAAAUUCAGUAUAAAGCCACCUAACUAAAAUUGCCCACAAAUUGGGAAUAGUACCCAUUUAGCUUCCCUUUGUAGAUGUCAACACCAGUUAUUUCACUACACUAUAAGUAACAAAGAGAGCCUGAAGAAUAAACUAUCAACUUCAUGAAUAUAAAUUAGCAAAUUACAAAGAAAAAUUAAAGAGUCAACACAACAAAACACAAAAUCAUAAAUUGGCUACAAAUUUCAAGUGAAAAUCGAAUAGAUAUCAAUGUCAAAUGUAAGGUUAGGGUUCCGAUUGAAAUCGCUUACCGAGAGCACGCAGUUAUG
rnacentral:misc_RNA from 1 species